rnacentral:rRNA from 1 species
AGUGAACGCUGGCGGUAGGCCUAACACAUGCAAGUCGAACGGCAGCACAGUAAGAGCUUGCUCUUACGGGUGGCGAGUGGCGGACGGGUGAGGAAUACAUCGGAAUCUACUUUUUCGUGGGGGAUAACGUAGGGAAACUUACGCUAAUACCGCAUACGACCUACGGGUGAAAGCAGGGGAUCUUCGGACCUUGCGCGAUUGAAUGAGCCGAUGUCGGAUUAGCUAGUUGGCGGGGUAAAGGCCCACCAAGGCGACGAUCCGUAGCUGGUCUGAGAGGAUGAACAGCCAAACUGGAACUGAGAAACGGUCCAGACUCCUACGGGAGGCAGCAGUGGGGAAUAUUGGACAAUGGGCGCAAGCCUGAUCCAGCCAUACCGCGUGGGUGAAGAAGGCCUUCGGGUUGUAAAGCCCUUUUGUUGGGAAAGAAAAGCAGCAGGUUAAUACCCCGCUGUUCUGACGGUACCCAAAGAAUAAGCACCGGCUAACUUCGUG